AACUUUCAACAACGGAUCUCUUGGUUCCCACAUCGAUGAAGAACGCAGCGAAACGCGAUAGUUAAUGUGAAUUGCAGAAUUCAGUGAAUCAUCGAGUCUUUGAACGCACAUUGCGCCCAUUGGUAUUCCUUUGGGCAUGUCUGUUU
rnacentral:rRNA from 1 species